rfam:Pseudomonas balearica DSM 6083 genome assembly, contig: Ga0056079_111
GGAAGUAGGCCUUCCGAAGUCGGCUUGCAGGAGCGGACUUCAAACCACCCGGUGCUGCUGCAUCCAAAAGGUGUGGUGGUGAGCGACCGAGGAAAAGUCAUCCCUGAGGAUGGCAGGU